rnacentral:rRNA from 1 species
UGCAGUCGAACGAUACUCUUUAGCUUGCUAGAGAGGAAAGUGGCGCACGGGUGCGUAACGCGUAUGCAACCUACCUUAAUCAGGGGGAUAGCCCGAAGAAAUUCGGAUUAACACCGCAUAAAAUCACAGUACAGCAUUGUACAAUGAUCAAAUAUUUAUAGGAUUAAGAUGGGCAUGCGUGACAUUAGUUAGUUGGCGGGGUAACGGCCCACCAAGACCACGAUGUCUAGGGGAUCUGAGAGGAUGACCCCCCACACUGGUACUGAGACACGGACCAGACUCCUACGGGAGGCAGCAGUAAGGAAUAUUGGUCAAUGGAGGCAACUCUGAACCAGCCAUGCCGCGUGCAGGAAGACAGCCCUCUGGGUCGUAAACUGCUUUUAUUCGGGAAUAAACCUACUUACGUGUAAGUAGCUGAAUGUACCGAAGGAAUAAGGAUCGGCUAACUCCGUGCCAGCAGCCGCGGUAAUACGGAGGAUCCAAGCGUUAUCCGGAUUUAUUGGGUUUAAAGGGUGCGUAGGCGGCUUUUUAAGUCAGGGGUGAAAGACGGUGGCUCAACCAUCGCAGUGCCCUUGAUACUGAAGAGCUUGAAUGAAUUAGAGGUAGGCGGAAUGUGACAAGUAGCGGUGAAAUGCAUAGAUAUGUCACAGAACACCGAUUGCGAAGGCAGCUUACUAUGAUUUUAUUGACGCUGAGGCACGAAAGCGUGGGGAUCAAACAGGAUUAGAUACCCUGGUAGUCCACGCCCUAAACGAUGAAUACUCGCUGUUAGCGAUACACAGUUAGCGGCUAAGCGAAAGCGUUAAGUAUUCCACCUGGGGAGUACGGUCGCAAGAUUGAAACUCAAAGGAAUUGACGGGGGCCCGCACAAGCGGAGGAGCAUGUGGUUUAAUUCGAUGAUACGCGAGGAACCUUACCCGGGCUUGAAAGUUAGUGAAUCAUUUAGAGAUAGAUGAGUCCGCAAGGACACGAAACUAGGUGCUGCAUGGCUGUCGUCAGCUCGUGCCGUGAGGUGUUGGGUUAAGUCCCGCAACGAGCGCAACCCCUAUGUUUAGUUGCCAGCACGUCAUGGUGGGGACUCUAAACAGACUGCCUGUGCAAACAGAGAGGAAGGAGGGGACGACGUCAAGUCAUCAUGGCCCUUACGUCCGGGGCUACACACGUGCUACAAUGGAUGGUACAGAGGGCAGCAAGCUGGUAACAGCAAGCAAAUCUCCAAAAGCCAUUCACAGUUCGGAUAGAGGUCUGCAACUCGACCUCUUGAAGUUGGAUUCGCUAGUAAUCGUAUAUCAGCAAUGAUACGGUGAAUACGUUCCCGGGCCUUGUACACACCGCCCGUCAAGCCAUGGAAGUUGGGGGUACCUAAAGUAUGUAACCGCAAGGAGCGUC